UGGGCUCCCCAUUCGACCCGU
rnacentral:snRNA from 1 species